rnacentral:lncRNA from 1 species
UUUGCCAAAAAGUUUCUAGCAUCUGUUUCCACUGAUCAUUAGCCUACGGAGGUAGAUUCUCUAACGCCUGCUUGAUAGUUUUCAAACAAGGUCUCCAAUUCUUCCAAUUCAGUUUUGACAGAAUUCAGUUCUUGAUCGUUGGGAUCAAGCUUCUCCAACACCGCCGUGAUCCUCAAGACAUUCCCGCAACGCUUCACAUGUCCACAUUACGAAACGCUCUACGAUAAUCUCAUUACAAGACCAACUCCGGAGCAGGCUUCACAACCUCUACCUGGGCUACCAGCUCUAUCACACAAUGAGGCAUGAAUGUCUCCGUGGGCGUGGAGGCUUCGACAUGAAAUUGUGGUUUGUUUUCACUUAUACCUCC